rnacentral:tRNA from 1 species
GCGCUCGUAGCUCAGUUGGUAGCAGCGGGAAGCUUUUAACUUCUAGGUCGGGGGUUCGAAUCCCUCCGGGCGCACCA